AUCCAGUGGAUGAGUCCAAAAUAGGACGGAACACGUGUUCUGGAU
rnacentral:hammerhead_ribozyme from 1 species